GGGAAGUGGGUGAAACUGCCAAUAUCAUCUAGGGGCCUCUGGCUAAAAUGAUGAUAGAUAUGAGGAUUGUCUUAUUCUUUUAACUUUCUCCUCUCCUGUUCUGCUACUAGGUUCAAAUACUUCAU
ensembl:miRNA predicted gene, 27749